AAACGUUCAAAUAUUAAAGAGAAUAUAGCAUAAGGUCUUUUUAAUCGACUUCCUAUACUAUGAUAUGCACUGUAGCUAAAACCACGCUGGACCAAACAAAUAAAAGAGUUCUGGAAUGGUGAUGGCCUACAAACAAAAGACGUUCGUGUGUGAAUAGACUUUUAAUUGAUAAUGUAUUUCCAGCUAUAGUAUAUGGCAUAUACUGAAUAAGUACAGGGUAUACGAAUUCAGAUGCUUAUAUUCUUUAGAGCAUUAACAAUAUUACAGAUACUGCACCAUAUCAUACACCACAUUGCAAAAGAUUGAUAAAAUAAAGAUAGCUGACCUUAAGUUCUCAGUAAAUGCACUUACCAGUUGCAAAACAAAAUGAUCCACGAAGCACACUGUGAAAUGCAAUACAUUUGUACAAGUCUGCUAUAUCCUUCUACUAGUACCAGUGAUCAGGAACAAGAUGGGAUAUAAAUGUUUGAUCCUGGAGGAUAGUAUUGUUAGGAUAUAUUAAUCUUCAUUUGUAGUUAUCAUUUAGAAGACCCUAUGUAAGAAACUCUACAAGAUGGAGUGAUAUUCUCGUGUACUGAUGUGGAUACCUUAACAAACUGUAGAAGUGGAUUUCUAGGGUUCCUUGGGUGAGGAUUCCUAAGGUUUUAUCUCUUUGUUAUUCUUCUUUUUAAAUUGUCCUGCAUCAGUUUGGUCUUAGAGCAAACAUCGAUCCUUAUCGUUUGUUGAUUUUCUCCCAGUCAUUAUUUACCUUCAAGAGAGAGAGAGAGAAAUCUGUGUCACAAAGAGAAAGAAUGUAUUUGUUCGACCCUCACAGCCAUCAACUCAGAUUCAGAUCAGAUUACAUGACCAGCACCUGCACCGUUCACACUAACAUCAUUGUUACAGUCCCUCAUCAUCCCACCGCCGCCGCUGCAGACCACCAUCGCAGGAUGUUUCUGUUACAGUUUUCCCACACUCCAACCGUUUGCCUUGAAAUACCCACACCAUUACUUCUCCCACCAACACUAUCCACCAGUUAAUUCUAGGCCCAGUCUACUUAAAUCCAGUCCAUACAAGUCCAACAAACCCUGAACCAGUUUCUCAUUUAACCCAGCCCAAACACAAAAAUAAUACUCCCUCCAUACGAUUUUCAUUGUCCAUUAUUCUUUGCCUCUUUUAUGUCUAUUGCUUAUAUCUUUCAAUGUAGAUCUCGAAAAAUAUACGAUAUGGAUCUUAUUUGAUACAUUUUAAUUUGUUCUAUAAUACAAAGUUGUCGAAAUCAUGAAAAACAUUAUCGAUUGAAAAACAUUCUCAAUUGAAAGAUAUAGGCAAUAGACACAAAAGAGACAAAAAGAAUAAUGAACAAUGAAAAUGGGACAGAGGAAGUAAUUCUAUUAAAUAUCCUGCACCUCAAAUAGCAAACCUCAAGCAUAAUAUUCUUCCGAACCAAAUCAAACAAACAACAAAAGGCAGCAAAUCAAAAGAAGUUUGAGAGGAUUGCAUAUAUUGGAACGCUUGGAUUUCACAUUUUCUGACCACUGAAAUUGGAGAGCUUUGAGUUCAUAUUUUGAUCUGGGGUGCACACAUGGGCAGACCAACAAAUACCCGGGGCUCAAAUUUGAUCCGCAAAGGUACUAUUCUCCUUUUGAAAUUCAGAUUACUAUCUUUAUUCAUUGGAAUAUUACUAAAUUCUGCAAAGAGGUCCAACAAUUUGUGCUUCUCAUUUCCAUGCGCCCUAAUAUGGAUUCUAUUUCCAUAGAGCAUCUUGCAAAGCUCAUCAACCACCUCUCAAGUCUCAACUAAGGUUGAACGAAACAAUUCUCAAUUCUACGCUGAGUUAAGUAGGACCAUGAGAUACCUUAGACAGUCUCCUCCAAUUGUUGUUGCUAACCACGUGGUCAAUUAUUUUCGAGGGUGCAUUUCACUGACACCAUUUGAGGUUUUGCUUAAUGAUAGAUACCCCUUCACGUAUGAGAAAUGACUAUAAACUUCCUAUAGUUUCAAUGUCCAUUUCACCGACACCCAACUAACAACUCUUUGACCAACCACAUGAUGGAAUUAGCCAAAUGGCUUAUAUUGACAAAAUUCACCCUUUUUGAUAAUAAAGUAACCAAUAAAAGCUCAAAAUUCUCAAUCUUUUGGAUCCAAAAUUACUAAAUUUGUCAUUUCUAAUCCAAACGGCCCUUUCACGAUUAAAAACUAAAGGGCUACUAAUAAAUUCUACUCUUUUUCAUCAAAACAGCUCUUCCAAUGGAGGAAAAAAGAAGUUAUUUUGAUUCAAAAUACGUGAGUUGAUAUUUCUUAUUACCUUUUAUUAAAGAGUGAAUAUUCAGAUAUGUCAUUUUUGGCUCAUUCCAUCACGAGCAUGGACCAACAAUUGUCGAGUCUGGCAUUACAACUGUGGGGAGCGAGUUUUCCUAGGAAUGUGAUUUCUGAGUCUGACAUUAAAAGAGGUAAUCUUACAAUUGCGCCACACCCACAACCAUACGAGAUCACGUGGGAAAUAAUUCUAUUGUUAUGGUCUAUGAGAGAAAUUUAGGGUCAAUUAACAUGGGUAAUUUGUAUGCGGAAAAUGUUUACUGUGACAUCUUACCCAUAGAUGUUGGCCAUGUCCUUCUGAUAACUCAUGGAUGAAUGAUGUGCAUGCAAGUGGCAGAAAAAGAUUAUCAUAUUUGGUGUAAUAGUAGAUCCAACUUGCUCAAGUGCCCAACGCCUAGUCUAAAUGAUAAAAACGCACAACCCAAUUCUUCCACCCAGGGCCCCAUUAAGCAAACACUCCCAUUGUAUGCCAACCUAACUCUGAGAAAGUCGUAGGUGCGACUAGUCCAACGCAUGAUCCACUGGCUAAGGAAGUUUUGAUUUUCUACCUCAAGUGAAUCACGUGGGUAAACAUUGUCUCAAUGAGACCUCAAAAGAACUACCUAACAAUUUAUGCUCAAGAGUGAUGAUGAGUUGUAUUGCGAGGAAGAGGGACCUUUACCAACAAAUAAUCAUUUAGUCUACGAACUAUUCCUAGUCUCAUUGGACAACCUGUCCAUGAAACCAACCAUCUUCUCCCAUAUGUUCACGCCAAUGAACUUGUUUGUGCUUCCAAUAUAUUGGACCUUAAUGCAAAUUUGCAUGAUUUUUCAAUGAAUUUGGGUAUUGAUAUUGAUUUUUCUGAGGAGAAUUGUGUUUCUGGCCCAAAGUACUUUUAGCCCUCUCUUGCUCUCCACAGGAGUAAAGAAGAGCGUGCUUCUGUCUCCCACCACAACAUAGAUAGACGUUUCUUCACAGUACAUGGGACACCUUUGGACUUUCAUGAGUUGAACCACACUUCUAACUCGCCGGAGCUGAGUUCUUCUAAACAGGGGAGAAUUGAUAAGGAACAAGACGGGAAAUAUAAGAGCCUAUUUAAAGGACUCUGCAAUAUUCUUGGAAACUUCAAUUUUUUCGAGUGUCGGCGUGGAUGCCUUUACAACCCCUAGUAGCAAUUUUCUACGGCUCCUUAGGUGCGGAUUCCCGAGGUUUUAUCUUUUUGUAAAUUUUUUUUUUUAAUCAUAAUGCAUCAACCAGCGUAACCAACAUUUUAUGAUCAAAAGCUCAAGAGGCAUAUCAAUGAAACUUAUGCAUAAACGACUCUUUAAAU